rnacentral:misc_RNA from 1 species
GAUGAAGAACGUAGCGAAAUGCGAUAAGUAAUGUGAAUUGCAGAAUUCAGUGAAUCAUCGAAUCUUUGAACGCACAUUGCGCCCCCUGGUAUUCCGGGGGGCAUGCCUGUUCGAGCGUCAUUUCACCACUCAAGCCUCGCUUGGUAUUGGGCAACGCGGUCCGCCGCGUGCCUCAAAUCGACCGGCUGGGUCUUCUGUCCCCUAAGCGUUGUGGAAACUAUUCGCUAAAGGGUGUUCGGGAGGCUACGCCGUAAAACAACCCCAUUUCUAAGGUUGACCUCGGAUCAGGUAGGGAUACCCGCUGAACUUAAGCAUAUCAAUAAGCGGGAGGA